rnacentral:rRNA from 1 species
GACGAACGCUGGCGGCGUGCCUAAUACAUGCAAGUUGAGCGCUGAAGGUUGGUACUUGUACCAACUGGAUGAGCAGCGCACGGGUGAGUAACGCGUGGGGAAUCUGCCUUUGAGCAGGGGACAACAUUUGGAAACGAAUGCUAAUACCGCAUAAAAACUUUAAACACAAGUUUUAAGUUUGAAAGAUGCAAUUGCAUCACUCAAAGAUGAUCCCGCGUUGUAUUAGCUAGUUGGUGAGGUAAAGGCUCACCAAGGCGAUGAUACAUAGCCGACCUGAGAGGGUGAUCGGCCACAUUGGGACUGAGACACGGCCCAAACUCCUACGGGAGGCAGCAGUAGGGAAUCUUCGGCAAUGGACGAAAGUCUGACCGAGCAACGCCGCGUGAGUGAAGAAGGUUUUCGGAUCGUAAAACUCUGUUGGUAGAGAAGAACGUUGGUGAGAGUGGAAAGCUCACCAAGUGACGGUAACUACCCAGAAAGGGACGGCUAACUACGUG